AAAUCAUGCAGAAGACAACAGUUUUGUGAUGUGGCAAUUUGGCCCAGCUGAACUUUUUUUUUUUUUUUUCCCCCAGAAUUCCUUCCCUGCCUGUUUCUAUUUAGGGAGGGUGGUUGUGAAGUAGCAGCCAUUUUGUUUUUAUGCUCAAAAUGUUGGGCAGGAUACUUUUGUAGCUCACAUAUGUUGUUGCUUCUCUGCUGGCUCAUUUGAUGGCUAUGGGGCAGCAGCUCAGCCUGCCACCACCUCUAGAUGUUUCUUCAGCUUCUCCAACUCCAAGGCUGGGAAGAAUAUGAAGUCAAGGAAGACCAUCCACAGAAAAGAUGCUUGCCAAACUCCCAGGUUCCUGGCAGAAUGAAUAAUGUGAAUAAAAUGCAUGUUUAGUCCAACAGUCCUUCUUAAGUGGUAUAUAAAUAAAUAGUAUACAAUAAUAGAUUUUGUAUGGUGCAAUUGUUUUUAUUCAGAAAUGUAGAUACAUAGAAAUACAGUAUCUUAAAAACAUAGGAAGUUCCAGGGCUGCCCACUUACUGCUUCCUGUAUCAGGCGGCAUGAGAGUUACUGAGGAUACAAAGAUGAGUGAGACACUGCCCUGUAAAGCCAUAAUUGAGUUCACCUUUAUGAAUCUGUGUCUUAAUUCUGACACAUCAUUUGAAAGUCAUUUUUGGGGUAAAGGGGAAGGAAUCAGGAGAAGAUUAGAAAAAUCUCCAAUGACAUCUUAAUUAUAAAGGUAGGGGAAGCUUUGUUUUGGAGGGCACUUUAUGUAGAACUAAAGUAUUUUACAUAAUCCUAG
rnacentral:lncRNA from 1 species